UACGUAGGGAGCAAGCGUUAUCCGGAAUUAUUGGGUGUAAAGGGUGCGUAGACGGGAAAUUAAGUUAGUUGUGAAAUCCCUCGGCUCAACUGAGGAACUGCAACUAAAACUGAUUUUCUUGAGUGCAGGAGAGGAAAGUGGAAUUCCUAGUGUAGCGGUGAAAUGCGUAGAUAUUAGGAGGAACACCAGUGGUGAAGGCGACUUUCUGGACUGUAACUGACGUUGAGGCACGAAAGUGUGGGGAGCAAACAGG
rnacentral:rRNA from 1 species